CGCUUUAAACUUACUGCUCUACAGUUCUGCAGUGUUACCCAUUGGAAUGUAUCAGUUAAACAGGAAAGUUGGGGAAAACUUUUCAUUCAAAGAAACAUUUAGAAACACUGCAGAGGAAAGUCAAAGUUCAAAUGGAUUUGCAACACCAGUAGCUGACAGUUUUUGAGUGGCUGCUUGGCACACUUCAUGAGACAUCUGCUCUGCAUCCCUACUUUAAAUAAAGAUGGGAGAUUUGAACCAUCUGAAUGAAGAGAGAAAAGCAAAUAGAAGUUUACAAAAUAUCCAAAACUCUUUUAUUGCAAACUUUUUUUUAUUGUAAAAAGUUGAUGAUCGCUGACCUGUCAGUUUAAUUGUAUUGAUGUUAUACUAUGAAAGCUUUGACAGUCAAUCAAUUGGCUUCCCUCCAGAUGGUUUGUGAUGUCACAGACAUAACCAGCAUCUGCCACAAGAGCUCCACUGAAAGUCCUUUUGUAGUUCACUGACCAAGUCUUGGAAGGACUGAGUGUGGGAAACUGAGAGAGACUUUCUACUCACACCAAGAACAUUUCAGUAUAUAAAACAUCUAGAUCAAAAAUAGAAAUAAUCUAAGCAGAAGUUGCAGUAAAGAUGAAUAACUGAUUUAAGCAAUAAGUCCACUAAGUGAACAGAUCAGGUUGAAACGGGCACAUUUUCAACCAAAUUAGUUGAAUAAAGUGUUUUAAAAUUUCAGAUAAGAUUGACCAAACAAUAUAAACAAUAAAAAGUAAUAUCAGUUGAUUAAUUGGUACAAAAUAGUUUUAUGUUCUCCCAAAACUAAGAAAUGAGCUUUUCAGUGUUUGAUUUUGCAUGUGUGUUGGAAUAAUGAGUGUGUGAAAUAGUUUGACACCACAAAGUCGACUGACUCUUUAUAACAUUCCCACAUUCACAAAAAACUCCCUCCAGUCGUCCACCUGUUCCCCUGAGAUCAAACCAUUGUCCCCUGUUGACAUGAGUAGUGACCAUGUGGCAGGGCAGACUUCUUAUUAUCUCUAGUCCUGAGCUCUGAUUGGUUCAGACUGUGGGAAACUUCUUCCAGACCAAGACCCACACAUCUAAAUGGAGAUGAGGAACUAUAAAUAGGAGCGUGAAGGAAGCAGAGAUUGGAUUCAGACCUCCGCAGCACAGAAAUUCAACCAUGAUACGUUCAGAGUGCAGCAACGGAUAGCUCUCAGGCGCAUCUGGUUCUGAACCACAAGCACAGAAAGCCUCUGGUGAACGAACUUGCAGAAAGCGAAUCAACAGCAGCAUGGAACAGCUGGGUCCAGAGUUCCUCAAACAGCAGCCAGACUCCAAGCUGGAGAAAGCAGACAUCUUGGAGAUGCAGUGGAGAUACACUUCCUGUUCAAAGAUAAAGUGAAGCCACAGCCUCCAAAAAGACUACUGAACCAUUUCUACAAGUUGCUUCCACUGAAGAAAACCUGACAGGCUAGCUUCUCUGUUCUGAGCGCCACAGUCCAGACCAGCUUCUAUGAAGACAAGAGUUCAGUCAACAGCGCCCUCUGGAGGCCAUUGUAGAAAUCUACAGAUUUGAAUAAAAACUACUCAAACUAAGACCAUAUACUGUAGGUCCGACAUUAUUCAGCUGAAUUUCUCUGACUUUUCAAGGAAUAUUGCUUAAACUUAAACUACUCAAACUAAGACCAUAUACUGUAGGUCCGACAUUAUUCAGCUGAAUUUCUCUGACUUUUCAAGGAAUAUUGCUCAAUUUGAUUCUGUUUGAAUCGUCAGUUUUUCAAAACAUGAUAUUUCCUUAGGAAAUCAGAAUGAUGUCUUUCAUGUUGAGAAAGAAUGAAGCAAGAAGCUAAAAACCAUGUUGGUCAAAGAUUAAGGACACUGGGAUUAUUGAAAUUCAAAGCCUGAUUGUUUUUUCUGCUUAAACAGAAAGUUACUAAGCUGCAUUGAAAUGAAGUGAGUGUAUUUUGAUCUGUCAGAUUUAAAAGUAUUAUCAUUCAGUUUGACUUGAAAAGAAAUGUAACUUGUUUUAAAUGCACUCAGUUCACCCAAACCUUCUGUCAUUUAGGUUUUUAUACUUUAAGUUUUUCUUUCUUAUGGAAAGAUUGGGUCACUGAUCUUUUAUCAGAUAUAAAUUUGUACUUUUGAUCAUGUUGGUCAAAGAUAAAUGAAACUGAAAUGUUUAAAAUUCACAGACUAAUUCCUCUGUUGUUCAGAUGGUUGUUUAACUGAGCAGAAACUGAUUAUUUUCAGAAAGCUUUGAUAUAUCAGAUCUGAAAGUGUUACUCUUUUGUCUUAAAAGAUACCAAGUUUUAUCUUAGAGUGUACUGAGUUCACUCAAGAUAUAUCUUGUUCUUGCAUUGUAAAUUCAUUUCCUAUGGAAACACUAAAUCAUAGCAUCAUGAUUUUUCAGAAAAUCAGAUUUUCCUCCUUUUGUCUAAAAGGAUAUCUAGGAACUGUGAUUCUGUCUUAAUUGUUUAUGAACUUGCAUUUCGCUAAGAAAAAAAUAUAUUGAAUUCUCAUGUUGUGAAGCCUAUAGUACAUCACUUUGUGAUUUACCUAUUAUGAUCUUUUCUGAGAUCCAAUUUAUCUCUGACUUUAAUAGAAAGAAAUGUAUCAAUUAGAUGAAUGUUACAUCACAAAAUGUGCUUAUCUUUUGUAAAGACAAUUGUCCCUUUACUCAUUCUGAGUAAAGUGUCUUGGAGAUUUUCUCAAGUUGAUGUAUCAUCAUAGUGUUGUUACCUCAGCGGAAGUUGUCAUACUUUUAUUUCCGUUUCUCUGAACACCUACAGAAAAUAAAAUCAGAUACAUUUGCACUUGAA